UACGGAGGGUGCAAGCGUUAUCCGGAUUCACUGGGUGUAAAGGGUGCGCAGGUGGGUUGGUAAGUCAGUGGUGAAAUCUCCGAGCUUAACUUGGAAACUGCCAUUGAUACUAUUAGUCUUGAAUAUUGUGGAGGUCAGCGGAAUAUGUCAUGUAGCGGUGAAAUGCUUAGAGAUGACAUAGAACACCAAUUGCGAAGGCAGCUGGCUACACAUAUAUUGACACUGAGGCACGAAAGCGUGGGGAUCAAACAGG
rnacentral:rRNA from 1 species